rnacentral:rRNA from 1 species
UACGAAGGGGGCUAGCGUUGCUCGGAUUGACUGGGCGUAAAGGGCGCGUAGGCGGUUCGUACAGUCAGACGUGAAAUUCCUGGGCUCAACCUGGGGGCUGCGUUUGAUACGUGCGGACUUGAGUGCGGAAGAGGGUCGUGGAAUUCCCAGUGUAGAGGUGAAAUUCGUAGAUAUUGGGAAGAACACCGGUGGCGAAGGCGGCUCACUGGCUCGUAACUGACGCUCAGGCGCGAAAGCGUGGGGAUCAAACAGG